UGCGCAGGUGGGCUUGUAAGUCAGUGGUGAAAUACUGCCGCUUAACGGUAGAACUGCCAUUGAUACUGCAAGUCUUGAGUAUGGUUGAGGUAGGCGGAAUGUGUUGUGUAGCGGUGAAAUGCAUAGAUAUGACACAGAACCCCAAUUGCGAAGGCAGCUUACUAAGCCAUUACUGACGCUGAGGCACGAAAGCGUGGGGAGCGAACAGGAUUAGAUACCCUGGUAGUCC
rnacentral:rRNA from 1 species